AACUAACUACUGUAGCUCCUUAGAGCUGACCAAACCCUCAUGUUGAGAGGUAACUAACUAACUAACUAACUACUGUAGCUCCUUAGAGCUGACCAAACCCUCAUGUUGAGAGGUAACUAACUAACUACUGUAGCUCCUUAGAGCUGACCAAACCCUCAUGUUGAGAGGUAACUAACUAACUAACUAACUACUGUAGCUCCUUAGAGCUGACCAAACCCUCAUGUUGAGAGGUAACUAACUAACUAACUAACUAACUAACUAACUAACUAACUACUGUAGCUCCUUAGAGCUGACCAAACCCUCAUGUUGAGAGGUAACUAACUAACUACUGUAGCUCCUUAGAGCUGACCAAACCCUCAUGUUGAGAGGUAACUAACUAACUAACUACUGUAGCUCCUUAGAGCUGACCAAACCCUCAUGUUGAGAGGUAACUAACUAACUACUGUAGCUCCUUAGAGCUGACCAAACCCUCAUGUUGAGAGGUAACUAACUAACUAACUAACUAACUAACUAACUAACUAACUAACUAACUAACUAACUACUGUAGCUCCUUAGAGCUGACCAAACCCUCAUGUUGAGAGGUAACUAACUAACUACUGUAGCUCCUUAGAGCUGACCAAACCCUCAUGUUGAGAGGUAACUAACUAACUACUGUAGCUCCUUAGAGCUGACCAAACCCUCAUGUUGAGAGGUAACUAACUAACUACUGUAGCUCCUUAGAGCUGACCAAACCCUCAUGUUGAGAGGUAACUAACUAACUAACUAACUAACUAACUAACUAACUAACUAACUAACUAACUAACUACUGUAGCUCCUUAGAGCUGACCAAACCCUCAUGUUGAGAGGUAACUAACUAACUACUGUAGCUCCUUAGAGGUGACCAAACCCUCAUGUUGAGAGGUAACUAACUAACUAACUAACUACUGUAGCUCCUUAGAGGUGACCAAACCCUCAUGUUGAGAGGUAACUAACUAACUAACUACUGUAGCUCCUUAGAGCUGACCAAACCCUCAUGUUGAGAGGUAACUAACUAACUACUGUAGCUCCUUAGAGCUGACCAAACCCUCAUGUUGAGAGGUAACUAACUAACUAACUACUGUAGCUCCUUAGAGCUGACCAAACCCUCAUGUUGAGAGGUAACUAACUAACUAACUAACUAACUAACUAACUAACUAACUACUGUAGCUCCUUAGAGCUGACCAAACCCUCAUGUUGAGAGGUAACUAACUAACUACUGUAGCUCCUUAGAGCUGACCAAACCCUCAUGUUGAGAGGUAACUAACUAACUAACUAACUACUGUAGCUCCUUAGAGCUGACCAAACCCUCAUGUUGAGAGGUAACUAACUAACUACUGUAGCUCCUUAGAGCUGACCAAACCCUCAUGUUGAGAGGUAACUAACUAACUACUGUAGCUCCUUAGAGCUGACCAAACCCUCAUGUUGAGAGGUAACUAACUAACUACUGUAGCUCCUUAGAGCUGACCAAACCCUCAUGUUGAGAGGUAACUAACUAACUACUGUAGCUCCUUAGAGCUGACCAAACCCUCAUGUUGAGAGGUAACUAACUAACUACUGUAGCUCCUUAGAGGUGACCAAACCCUCAUGUUGAGAGGUAACUAACUAACUACUGUAGCUCCUUAGAGGUGACCAAACCCUCAUGUUGAGAGGUAACUAACUAACUACUGUAGCUCCUUAGAGCUGACCAAAC